GCCAUUCUCGCGUGUGGCUGCUGCAUACUGUACGAGUGUUCCUGGGCCUGCCUGCUCCGAAUUAAUCUAGGUUAUCCUGGCCCCCGGGUUUUGAUUCGGCUAUGGAAAGAUGUGAUCUCAUCUCAAUGAGCUCAUCCUUGUCCCUUCCUGGCAUGAGUUGUGAGAGCUGCGUGAAAUGCUUUCUGAAAACCUGCCUCAACCCAACUCAAUGGUCCAGGAAGAAUCCGCCUGUGUUAUAGGUUCCAAAGUAGGUGAGGCACAGGCCCAGUUCUCAGGAGCUCACUGAGCAAUGGAGAAAGGACUUGAAUGCUUCCAGAGAAUGACUAAGAACGAGCUUGUGUAUUUCUUCCAUGAACAAGACAGAGGAACAGCGAGAGAGGGAGAGACAACACAGGGUCUUGAUACUUCCACCCACCUCUGGCUUCAGCUGGCCCCAGAUCAUGGACAUGCACCAACCCUGACAUACUGAGGGCGUUCUCCACAUGCAAACCAGGAACCUUCCUCUGGUUCAGCCUCAGAGGGUGUCAUUUGACUGCCGCACCACUGUUCUCUCCACCUAGAAAGAGAAACCCACUUUACCACGGCUGCCAGUAAAGGAACUCUGUAGACUCUGAUGAAACAGAAACUUUAUUGCUCAUACUAUCCUUAAUGUUCCUAAAGGUACAACAAACAAAUGGCAUCUUCAAACUCUCCAAGUUUAUAGAAGAGCAUAAUCUUUCUUGGCCUAAAGUUUGGUCUUUUGUCCUAAAGAUAAUGCAAUGUUCGUGACAAACCCUCAAACUCUCUCCAUAGGAAGACCUGGGAGGCUCCGAUGAACUCCUCCAGCAGACUUUCCUGUGUGACAUUCUCAUGGUGUCGACUAUGGCUGCAGCUAAUGUCAAGUCCACAGCCACCUGCUACACUUUGCGACAGUAUCAGACACAUUCCUCUAGGCUAGGUAUACUAAAGAGGCCUCAAGGCAUCAGCCAUGAAAAGGUCAGCUCAAGUACUUCCACCACAGUUAUUAGUCUUAGACUCUAGGGUGUAUACUAAUGGACUGACGAUUCCCAGCAAACAUGCUAAGGGUUCCACACUCUGGACAACCAGUCCCACAGGAGAGACAGAACCUGGAGACAGUAACAGAUGCAUGCCGCUCCAGAAAUAGAUAGCUACUCAAAGGAUCGAUGGGCAGGAAGAUGAUAGGAGGUCUAGGCAGUUUCUCCAUGAGACUUUCAAACUAAGCUCCAUGAUUAGGAUUUACAUUUUAUUAUUAGUCUCCUUUCAUUACUUACACUUACCUUUUGUGGCUCAAGGUGUCCACCUGUAGAAUGACUGCUACAGUCCUUUUGCAAACCUUCGCUCAAGUCCCACAGACCCUUGAGCUCCCUAACUCACCCGUCUCGAACAAUGGCAAUGGCUUCCAGCUUCUCCUGCUGAUAGAGUUGCCAGCCAGCUUUGGAGCCCUCUUAUAAGACCUCCUCAUGUGUCCAUAUGUCUCAACUGAACCCCAACCAUGAAUGAAUCUACAAAAACUCAAAGGAACUCAAAGAACUGCAGGAACAGAGAGAGACAUCAGACUAUUCUCCUGGUUAGGUCUAAGCCAAGGAGGACACUGGAUGCAGGGGGCUCGCCGAGUGAUUUUAUGUUUUUGUGACUGUCUUCAGGCUUCCUGAGCACUUCCACUGUCUGUCAUCCAGCUGCUAAAUGUUACUGGAGUGACCAUGGCAAGCCAAGUCCAGGGGAUGAGACUGAAUCCAGAAGACACUAGUGGGUCUGAGAUUGACCAUGAGAGAGAAAUAAAGAAUUAUGAUGGGAGAAGUAAGAAAUAACUUUAUUAGGCCAGUUGUGGUGUGCUGGCUAAGGCAGCUGGAUCCCACAUGGCUAACUGUACAGUUCAAGUCCUGGACCUGGCUGUUACAAAAAUACACC